GUACACGCUGUGACUAGCAUAUCAAUAAGCGGAGGAAAAGAAACUAACAAGGAUUCCCCUAGUAACGGCGAGUGAAGCGGGAAGAGCUCAAAUUUGAAAUCUUAAAGGGUUUCCCUUUACGAAUUGUAGUUUAAAGAAGUGUUUUCUGUUGAGGUUUUUGGUAAAAGUUCUUUGGAAUAGGACAUCACAGAGGGUGAGAAUCCCGUCUAUGAUUGCGAUUUGUAGCUUUGUGAUACACUUUCAAAGAGUCGGGUUGUUUGGGAAUGCAGCCCAAAACGGGAGGUAAAUUUCUUCUAAGGCUAAAUAUUGGCGAGAGACCGAUAGCGAACAAGUACCGUGAGGGAAAGAUGAAAAGAACUUUGAAAAGAGAGUUAAAUAGUACGUGAAAUUGUCAAAAGGGAAGCGUUUAACACCAGUGUUGUUUUCUGAAAAUCAACCUCUGUUAGCUUUAUGCAUGUUUGUUUAGACCUAAUCAGCUAUCUUGCAUGUUCUAUUGUUUGCAGUGGUGCACUUUUCAGUUUACAGGUCAACAUCAGUUUUUUUUACCGUAAAAAAGUUAAAGAAAGGUAGCUCAUGGCUCCGGUCGUGAGUGUUAUAGUCUUUUUCCUAUGCGGUAGGAGAGACUGAGGUCUGCAGUGUAGGCUAUUUGGCUAGAUACUCAGGUGCUAUGUGAUACCAUUUCAUAAACAACUUGUUGAUUAUGUUUUGUCUAUUGCAUACUCGCUUGUACUAUCAUACCUACGCUUAGGAUGUUGACGCAUGAGAUAUACGC
rnacentral:rRNA from 1 species